rnacentral:rRNA from 1 species
UAUGAGCCUGAUUUAUAACUUCUUCGACGAUUUUGAGGCCUACUAUUAAAUCCAUGUUUAAUUAAAGUUAAAUUGACUGCAUUUCAGUCUCCCUAGUUUAAACUAAAUGUCAUUUGAUUAAAAUUUAAAUGUUAAUUUAUUUCUUAACAACCACACACAAACUAAAAACUAAUAAAUAAAAUUGAGGGUUAUCAAUUUAAGGACCAAAAUUCUCUAAUUAGAAUAAAUCACUGCCAUACAAUUUAGGUUUAAAUUUGAAUACCUAGUUAGUAAACAUACUCGGGUUCUAGUCCGGUUUUGUGGGGUAAUUAAUUUUUAUUUCUAAUAAACUUUUACUGACAGCUUGCAACAGAUUUUUAAAAGUUUAUUUAAAGUAACAAUCCGAUAAAAUUUUACUCUCAAGUA